rnacentral:rRNA from 1 species
UACGGGGGAUGCAAGCGUUAUCCGGAUUUAUUGGGUUUAAAGGGUGCGUAGGCUGUGAGGCAAGUCAGCGGCGAAAUGCCCCCGCUCAACGGGGUGAAGUGCCAUUGAUACUGCCUUGCUGGAAUGCGGAUGCCGUGGGAGGAAUGUGUGGUGUAGCGGUGAAAUGCAUAGAUAUCACACAGAACACCGAUUGCGAAGGCAUCUCACGAAUCCGCUAUUGACGCUGAUGCACGAAAGCGUGGGUAUCAAACAGG